CCUGCCUCAAAGAGGGGGACAACAGUUGGAAACGACUGCUAAUACCGCAUAAGCCCACGGGUCGGCAUCGACCAGAGGGAAAAGGAGCAAUCCGCUUUGAGAUGGCCUCGCGUCCGAUUAGCUAGUUGGUGAGGUAACGGCCCACCAAGGCAACGAUCGGUAGCCGGACUGAGAGGUUGAACGGCCACAUUGGGACUGAGACACGGCCCAGACUCCUACGGGAGGCAGCAGUGGGGAAUAUUGCACAAUGGGGGAAACCCUGAUGCAGCGACGCCGCGUGGAGGAAGAAGGUCUUCGGAUUGUAAACUCCUGUUGUUGAGGAAGAUAAUGACGGUACUCAACAAGGAAGUGACGGCUAACUACGUGCCAGCAGCCGCGGUAAAACGUAGGUCACAAGCGUUGUCCGGAAUUACUGGGUGUAAAGGGAGCGCAGGCGGGAAGACAAGUUGGAAGUGAAAUCCAUGGGCUCAACCCAUGAACUGCUUUCAAAACUGUUUUUCUUGAGUAGUGCAGAGGUAGGCGGAAUUCCCGGUGUAGCGGUGGAAUGCGUAGAUAUCGGGAGGAACACCAGUGGCGAAGGCGGCCUACUGGGCACCAACUGACGCUGAGGCUCGAAAGUGUGGGUAGCAAACAGGAUUAGAUACCCUGGUAGUCCACACCGUAAACGAUGAUUACUAGGUGUUGGAGGAUUGACCCCUUCAGUGCCGCAG
rnacentral:rRNA from 1 species